rnacentral:rRNA from 1 species
CGCACGGGUGAGUAACACGUAUGCAACCUGCCUGCCACAGCCGGAUAAUCGGGAGAAAUCCGGUCUAAUACCGCAUGACGCGGGAAAGGCGCAUGCCUUUUCCGCCAAAGGAGGCGACUCCGGUGCCGGCUGGGCACGCGUGACAUUAGCUAGUUGGCGGGGCGACGGCCCACCAAGGCGACGAUGUCUAGGGGUUCUGAGAGGAAGGUCCCCCACACUGGUACUGAGACACGGACCAGACUCCUACGGGAGGCAGCAG